UGAAGCCCUUAGGGCAGAGUGA
rnacentral:miRNA from 1 species